rnacentral:rRNA from 1 species
UAUCUCUGUAGAGUCUGCAUAUCAAUAAGCGGAGGAAAAGAAACUAACUAGGAUUCCCUUAGUAACGGCGAGUGAAGCGGGAAGAGCUCAAAUUUGAAAUCUUCAAGGUUUUACCUUGACGAAUUGUAGUUUAAAGAAGUGUUUUCUGUUGGUGUUUUGGUAAAAGUUCUUUGGAAUAGGACAUCAUAGAGGGUGAGAAUCCCGUAUUUGACCAUUACUUCCAGCGUUGUGAUACACUUUCAAAGAGUCGGAUUGUUUGGGAAUGCAGUCCAAAAUGGGUGGUAAAUUUCAUCUAAAGCUAAAUAUUGGCGAGAGACCGAUAGCGAACAAGUACCGUGAGGGAAAGAUGAAAAGAACUUUGAAAAGAGAGUUAAACAGUACGUGAAAUUGUCAAAAGGGAAGCGUUUGACACCAGUGUUGUUUUCUCGAAAAUCAAUUAAAAAAAGUUGGAUUUUGUAUUGUUAAGACCUUAUCAGCUUACUGUACUCUUUUCUUGCUUUUUUUAAUGCACUUUUCGUUUAACAAGUCAACAUCAAUUUCUUUUGUUGUAAAAGAGUCAUUGGAAGGUGGCUUUCACUUCGGUGAAAGUGUUUAUAGCCUUUGGCUUCUGCAAUCGGAGAGAUUGAGGUCUGCAGCGUAGAUCCUUCGGGGCUAGAUACGUAGAUGCUAAGUUAUAGUUUUUAUAGACAACUUGUUGACUAUAGUUUAGUCAUGUAGCUUACUCGUUGCGCUAUUUUACCUACGCUUAGGAUGUUGACGAUCAGCUGAGCGCG